CAACAAAAUAAUUCAAGUAACAAGGUAGAGCCCAAAUGGGGCUGUGGUAUUGAUCUGACUGUAAUGCUACACCACAAAAAUGCCUGUAACUGUAUCUCUGGGCCAUCCUGGAGAGGAAAGGUUGUGCAUGCUGGGCAUAGGAGCUGAAGAGAGCCCUGUGGUAUCACCAGCAAGGCAGCCCUUGGGUGGGAAGCCAGAGGGGAAGAAAAGGGGCUGAAGAUGAAGCAACAUCCAGUUACAUCUGUGUGAAUUUGGUCUGAACACAUGGAAACCUGGAACAGGGAUGUUAAAAUGGCCUGAAAAAAGGAUAAUUUGUGUUGGGCACAAAGGUCUUUUUUUGUUUCUGCAAGCAUGAUCUAAAUAUAUCCUAAUACUUCAUGGGCUUAGUCUCUGCACUGCAGUUGUCUUCUUAUUGAGAUUAUUUCCCUAUUGUAUAUUGCUGGUGAAAUUUCUGCUGCCAAAUCAUGAUGCACGAGGAAUGUUCUAAGAUGGGUGAAGAGCCUUAUGGGCCAUGUCUGUAGAGGGAAGAGUGUAAGAACAUUCUUGGAAGCACAGUUCUUCUUUCCUUUGACUACUUUCUUAGGAGUACUCUUUAAGGAGAAUUUCUGCCUUGCUACAAGGAGAUCUCACAUAUGUGAGGGCUGUGUAUUACACACUUGAGAGUGGCUAAGAACAGCUGGCCAUAUAGCUGCCAACAUUACAACUGACAGAAAGAGGAUGCUCUGAAUCAAUGCCCUAGUGAGGAUGUGCAGAAUUCUCUGAGGGGGAUAAAAACACAUUGAAAAUAAUGUUAAGAAAGAAGUCUUUGCUCACAAGACAAUACUUAUUUCAAAUUUCUUGAAAAAUUCUCAGUAAUCGUAAAUAUUACUUUACUUAAAAUACACUGCUAUAUGAGUUAUUUCAUUUGCAAAAAGAAAAAAAUGUGUAACAGAAAAUAUAAACAAAUAAGUUUGUGUCUACUCACUUAAAUUUUAUCCCAGGACUAGAAUCAAGUCAGAAUGUUUUUCUUUCUGGGGGAGGCAGUUCUUUAUCAUGAAAGUUAUAAAUACAUUUUCUCAGAAAAGUACACUUUGCACAUGAACUCUGCAGAGAUGGCUGCACAUACACAGCUUUGCAAGAAAUGUCAGACCCUUGAAGUUUCCUUCUUUAAUAAAUGCAGAAUGAAAGGAUAAUUUGACAUAGUUUCUUAUGAAACUGGUAAUAAGAAUUAACUUUAAGCAAACCUGUUUCCCCAAUAGAAUUUCAUGCUUACUUUCUAACAAAUUAAAUAAAUUGUAUAUAGAACUAUCUUUUUUUUAAAAUUUGGGGGCAAUUAUACAAUUUUCAAAGUAAUUUUUCUGUUUAUGAACAAACCAAUCUAAGUUCAAAGAAUUAUGAGAAAUUCAGGGAGGAUAGGUUAUAUGUUGAAAGUAUAGUAGAGCUGAGAAUUUCCCAAUAUGGAGACAAAAAAGCUAAAGGGAGAUAUGACAGCUUCUGAAAAUGUUAAGGAAUGUUGUCAGGAGGACAGGGACCAAUUCUCAUUAGCCAAUGAGAGCAGAAAAGGAAGUAAUGAACUUCAACUAUAGCAUGGAAAUUUAAGUGAAAUAUAAGAAAACUUUUAAACCAUCAGAACAAUUAAGCAAAGGUACAAAUAAUAAAUUCACCUUUACUAAUCAUAUUCAAAGUAGCACUUGAUAUUCAUCCAUUAGGAAUAAGUUAGAAAUAAUAAAACCAAUUUUACCAACAUUCUGGGAGUAGAUUAAAUGAUUUAAGAGGGAAUACUUCUCAAAAUCCUCACAAUGUUCUAAAAAAUAGACUCUGAAAAAGAAUAGCUUUUAAAAUAUGUAGGA